AACUAACAAGGAUUCCCCUAGUAACGGCGAGUGAAGCGGGAAAAGCUCAAAUUUGUAAUCUGGCGCCUUCGGCGUCCGAGUUGUAAUCUCGAGAAGUAUUUUCCGCGCUGGACCGCACAUAAGUCUGUUGGAACACAGCGUCAUAGUGGUGAGAACCCCGUAUAUGGUGCGGAUGCCCAGUGCUUUGUGAUAUACUUUCGAAGAGUCGAGUUGUUUGGGAAUGCAGCUCAAAUUGGGUGGUAAAUUCCAUCUAAAGCUAAAUAUUGGCGAGAGACCGAUAGCGAACAAGUACCGUGAGGGAAAGAUGAAAAGCACUUUGGAGAGAGUUAACAGUACGUGAAAUUGUUGGAAGGGAAACGCUUGAAGUCAGACUUGCAUUUUGGAGUUCAGCCGCAAGGUGUAUUCUUCAAUUCGCAGGCCAGCAUCAGUUUUCGGGGGUGGAAAAUCGCGGUUUGAAGGUAGCAGUUUCGGCUGUGUUAUAGCUUUCCGCUGGAUUCACUUUUGGGGACUGAGGAACGCAGUACGCUUUUUGCAAGAUUCUAGAGUCUUUCGUACUUAGGAUGCUGGUGGAAUGGCUUUAAACGAC
rnacentral:rRNA from 1 species